UCUUUAUCCGCUCAAAACGCUAUACAGCGAACGAGAAGGCGCUAGGAGCAAAGGAAAGUGGUUUUUCUAACAAACUCAUAUAAUCAAGUGCACGACGUACUCCAAUUUGAUUUUUUUCACAUAGUUAGACAUAAUAUAGUACUAUGAAAUGUUUCUGACCCAAAAUAUUACGAAAUAUGAUUGUUUACAUUAAAAUGCAAAAGUUGAUGAAAAAGUAUGAUAAGGUGAAAAAAGUGACAUUUUAUGUCUAGAAAGUGACUUUUCAUCAAAAGUACAAUAACAAAACUAGUUCCCAUUCAUCCUGUGUCUCCAUGCACACUAGUGCUCUUUAUCCGCUCAAAACGCUAUAGAGCGAACGAGAAGGCGCUAGGAGCAAAGGAAAGCGGUUUUUCUAACAAACUCAUGUAAUCAAUUGCCCGACCUACUCCAAUAUGAUUUUUUUCACAUAGUUAGACAUAAUAUAGUACUAUGAAAUGUUUCUGACCCAAAAUAUUACGAAAUAUGAUUGUUUACAUUAAAAUGCAAAAGUUGAUGAAAAAGUAUGAUAAGGUGAAAAAAGUGACAUUUUAUGUCUAGAAAGUGACUUUUCAUCAAAAGUACAAUAACAAAACUAGUUCCCAUUCAUCCUGUGUCUCCAUGCACACUUGUGCUCUUUAUCCGCUCAAAACGCUAUACAGCGAACGAGAAGGCGCUAGGAGCAAAGGAAAGUGGUUUUUCUAACAAACUCAUAUAAUCAAUUGCCCGACGUACUCCAAUUUGAUUUUUUCACAUAGUUAGACAUAAUAUAGUACUAUGAAAUGUUUCUGACCCAAAAUAUUACGAAAUAUGAUUGUUUACAUUAAAAUGCAAAAGUUGAUGAAAAAGUAUGAUAAGGUGAAAAAAGUGACAUUUUAUGUCUAGAAAGUCACUUUUCAUCAAAAGUACAAUAACAAAACUAGUUCCCAUUCAUGCUGUGUCC
ensembl:lncRNA